GAGUUUGAUCCUGGCUCAGAUUGAACGCUGGCGGAAUGCUUUACACAUGCAAGUCGAGCGGCAGCGCGGGGCAACCUGGCGGCGAGCGGCGAACGGGUGAGUAAUGCAUCGGAACAUGUCCAUGUCGUGGGGGAUAGCCCGGCGAAAGCCGGAUUAAUACCGCAUACGCCCGAGAGGGGAAAGUGGGGGACCGCAAGGCCUCACGCGAUUGGGUUGGCCGAUGUCCGAUUAGCUAGUUGGCGGGUAAGCCCACCAAGGCGAUGAUCGGUAGCUGGUCUGAGAGGAUGAUCAGCCACACUGGGACUGAGACACGGCCCAGACUCCUACGGGAGGCAGCAGUGGGGAAUUUUGGACAAUGGGGGCAACCCUGAUCCAGCCAUUCCGCGUGAGUGAAGAAGGCC
rnacentral:rRNA from 1 species